rnacentral:lncRNA from 1 species
CGCGCCGCGGUCCCAGGUGGACCCCGCCCCCGGAGCCCGCCCAACCGCCGGUGCAGGCCCGCUCCGUCCUUGCCCAGGCUCCCUCGCGGGCUGUGCGUCGCGUUCAGAGCUGCCGCUGGUUGAUUUCACGGUGCUUUCCACCAGCAAGAAUUGGGGGUGGUGCCGGGCUUUGGCUUCGGCCAGCGGACUUGGGUUCCCUGGCCGCCCCAGCUACCCGUCUUCACGUUUCCAUCUGUUCUCAGCUGGGGGGUACGGGGGAAGAUGGCUGGAAGGCCCCCUGCCCCUGACUCCCACUUCCCAGCCUCUCUGACUGCGGGCUCCUUGGCCUAGCAAGGUGCAGAACACCUGCCACCUGCACCUGAGAGCCCUCCCACUCCAAAGACCUUCCGCACCAAGACCUCGUUUCUGGCAGUCAUGUCUCCUCUGAAAUAGGUCAGAGACACGGCCGCAAGCCCCUC